UCCUCGAGCAAAAUAUGAGCUCUUGUGCUCCAGGGGCUUUAUCUCUUCAGACCGUUCUUCACCUUCCUAACAGGUCUUGGGAAAAGGCAAGGGAAAGAAAAAGAAAAGGUUGUGCCCCAGGGCUGCUGUCCUGGGAGAGGCAGAGGGAGGCUCAGGCCAGAGCUGGUCAAAGCCACUAGAUGGCAAACACCUCCCGUUGCUGGUGCUCCAGCCCUGUGUCCUCCUCCCUCCUCUCCGUGUCACUUCCAUGUCACCAGUGGAACCGCCCCGCUGCAUCCUGUCACCCACGGGCAGGGAACAGCCCCCAGCGAGGCCACAUGCCCAGCCCUGGCAGCACAACGGUGCUAAGGAAGCGUUUCACGGAGCUCAGGCACCACCGCUGCUCCUUUCAAACUCUUUUAUUUUUUCUUGGCGAGGAAGGAAGCGGGAAGGAGGCGUCAGAGCUUCACGAACAACCUUGUGCUAAUUGCAACCAGCCAGAGCUGGCACAGGUUGCCCAGGGAGGCUGUGGAUGCCCCAUCCCUGGCAGUGUCCAAGGCCGGGUUGGGCGGAGCCUUGAGCAACCUGGAUGAAGUGUAAUCUCCAUUCCAACACGUUAACAUUCCAGGAUUCUUUGUAUCACCGCACCGCGGGCUGCGGGCAGGCACCGAGAGGCAGAGAUCGAGGGGCAGAGCGGGGGCCGAGCCCUGCGCGCGUCCCCGGGACCCGAAGCAUCCCUGGGACCCGGAGCAUCCCUGGGGCCCGGAGCAUCCCCGGGACUCGGAGCAUCCCCGGGACCCGGAGCAUCCCCGGACUCGAAGCAUCCCCGGGACCUGCAGCAUCCCCGGGACUCGGAGCAUCCCCGGCGCUGGGCGGGUGGGUCCUGCGGGCGGUGCCGCCGCUCCCGCCCCGCCCCGGGGCCGGGAUGGAGCCGCCCCGGUCCAGCCCCGUUCCCAGCCGCGGUCCAGCCCCGUUCCCAGCCCCGGUCCAGCCCCGGAUCCAGCCCCGGUCCAGCCCCGUCCGGCCCCGCGAUGUCGCCGCGCUCCGCCCGCCUGGCGCGGCUGUCGCGCUCCGUCACCUUCAGCGCCUGCCACCGCCUGCACAGUCACAGUCACGGUGCGUGGACAGGUAAUAAGGAUGUGUGGCCAGGCUGCUGAUCUCCCUUUGGGUUUCCCUGCAGAUUGACCCAGUCUCAGGAAUGGUUAUGAACCUGACAGACCUCAAGGAAUACAUGCAGGAGGCGAUCAUGGAGCCUCUGGACCACAAAAACCUGGACCAGGACGUGCCGUACUUCGCCGAGGUGGUGAGGUGGGUCCCGGGGGCUCCUCCUGGCACUCAACAGUCCCCAAGGCUCAGUCCUGCACCAUCAGCACCACGGAGAACGUGGCCGUGUUCAUCUGGGAGAACCUGCAGAGGCUCCUGCCCCCGGGGAUCCUUUACAAGGUGAAGGUGCAC